UACGUAGGGUGCGAGCGUUGUCCGGAAUUACUGGGCGUAAAGAGCUUGUAGGUGGUUUGUCGCGUUGUUCGUGAAAUCUCACGGCUUAACUGUGAGCGUGCGGGCGAUACGGGCAGACUAGAGUACUGCAGGGGAGACUGGAAUUCCUGGUGUAGCGGUGGAAUGCGCAGAUAUCAGGAGGAACACCAAUGGCGAAGGCAGCUCGCUGGAACGGUACUGACGCUGAGGCGCGAAAGCGUGGGGAGCAAACAGG
rnacentral:rRNA from 1 species